rnacentral:rRNA from 1 species
GACGAACGCUGGCGGCGUGCUUAACACAUGCAAGUCGAACGGAAAGGCCCUGCUUUUGUGGGGUGCUCGAGUGGCGAACGGGUGAGUAACACGUGAGUAACCUGCCCUUGACUUUGGGAUAACUUCAGGAAACUGGGGCUAAUACCGGAUAGGAGCUCCUGCUGCAUGGUGGGGGUUGGAAAGUUUCGGCGGUUGGGGAUGGACUCGCGGCUUAUCAGCUUGUUGGUGGGGUAGUGGCUUACCAAGGCUUUGACGGGUAGCCGGCCUGCGAGGGUGACCGGCCACAUUGGGACUGAGAUACGGCCCAGACUCCUACGGGAGGCAGCAGUGGGGAAUAUUGCACAAUGGGCGGAAGCCUGAUGCAGCAACGCUGCGUGCGGGAUGACGGCCUUCGGGUUGUAAACCGCUUUCGCCUGUGACGAAGCGUGAGUGACGGUAAUGGGUAAAGAAGCACCGGCUAACUACGUG